GAAGUCGUAACAAGGUAGCCGUAGGGGAACCUGCGGCUGGAUCACCUCCUUUCUAAGGAUGUUUCUAGUCAGAUAAGCUUGCUUAUCUCGUGAAACACUUAGCAACGAUCAGCAAACAAAGCUGGUCAACAUUCGGGCAUCAUAGAUGACCCGCGAGCCAGACUGCCCUCAUAUCUCUUCAGACAUACGAACUUGCCAGCGGGCAGGUUCAGCAAGGGGCCUUAGCUCAGCUGGGAGAGCGCCUGAUUUGCAUUCAGGAGGUCAGGAGUUCGAUCCUCCUAGGCUCCACCAAGCUUAAGUCACCUUGACAACCACAUUUAGCGGCAGAAAUGUUGGCAAGUUCGGUGACAUAACCACCGGGUGAUGCUCUCGGCAGACUUUGCUUCACAAAGUCGCCUGCCGCACACAGGUUUUGUUUUGCUUUGCAAAACAAAAACCGGGUCGGUAGCUCAGGUGGUUAGAGCGCACGCCUGAUAAGCGUGAGGUCGGAGGUUCAAGUCCUCCUCGACCCACCAUCCUUCAGAAGAACAUAUCUUCAAGCAGUGAGAUCACUGUUUGAACAUCUGUUCUCAGAUGAAAUUGACAUCGUUUAGAGAGAAUACAAUCAACAACACUGUUGGUCCCCCAAGUGCGGGUGUGACCUCAUGUGGGUGCUGAUGAAGAUCUUCGGAUCUUUUGAUGCAAGCGUUGGACCGGUCAUGUUUCCUCAGACCCCCAGCGUAUGCCGAUAUGAAAAGACAGAGUUGUCCAAGUCAAGUACACUAACCCGCAUGAUUUAACCGUCAUGCAAAUGUUCGCUUCACCGACAUGAAGCGAGCGGGAAAGUAUGCUUUUGUACCAGAAAGACAAGUCACAGUUUCUUACCAGCUUCUGUGAUCGAAAGUGGCCCUCAAGUAGCGCUUUGCGCGGUAGGGCAGACAUAAGUCAACACUCUCUCUUUCUG
rnacentral:misc_RNA from 1 species